rnacentral:rRNA from 1 species
UACGUAGGGUGCAAGCGUUGUCCGGAAUUAUUGGGCGUAAAGAGCUCGUAGGCGGUCUGUCGCGUCUGCUGUGAAAACUCAGGGCUUAACCCUGAGCUUGCAGUGGGUACGGGCAGACUAGAGUGCGGUAGGGGAGACUGGAAUUCCUGGUGUAGCGGUGAAAUGCGCAGAUAUCAGGAGGGAACACCGGUGGGCCGAAGGCGGGUCUCUGGGC